UCCGGCUUAUCACCGGCAGUCCCUCUAGAGUGCCCAACUGAAUGAUGGCAACUAGAAGCGAGGGUUGCGCUCGUUGCGGGACUUAACCCAACAUCUCACGACACGAGCUGACGGCAGCCAUGCAGCAUCUGUGCACGGACCCGAAGGAGACCGGCUUUCACCGGCUGUCCCGUGCAUGUCAAGCCCUGGUAAGGUUCUUCGCGUAGCUUCGAAUUAAACCGCACGCUCCGCUGCUUGUGCGGGCCCCCGUCAAUUCCUUUGAGUUUUAGCCUUGCGGCCGUAGUCCCCAGGCACCUAGUACCCAUCGUUUACGGCGUGGACUAC
rnacentral:misc_RNA from 1 species